rnacentral:rRNA from 1 species
GACGAACGCUGGCGGCGUGCUUAACACAUGCAAGUCGAACGAUGAAGCCAGCUUGCUGGUGGAUUAGUGGCGAACGGGUGAGUAACACGUGGGUGAUCUGCCCCAAACUUUGGGAUAAGCCUGGGAAACUGGGUCUAAUACCGAAUAUGACCGAUACUCGCAUGGGUGUUGGUGGAAAGCUCCGGCGGUUUGGGAUGGGCCCGCGGCCUAUCAGCUUGUUGGUGGGGUAAUGGCCUACCAAGGCGACGACGGGUAGCCGGCCUGAGAGGGCGACCGGCCACACUGGGACUGAGACACGGCCCAGACUCCUAUGGGAGGCAGCGGUGGGGAAUAUUGCACAAUGGGCGCAAGCCUGAUGCAGCGACGCCGCGUGAGGGAUGACGGCCUUCGGGUUGUAAACCUCUUUCACCAGGGACGAAGCGAAAGUGACGGUACCUGGAGAAGAAGCACCGGCCAACUACGUG